GACGAACGCUGGCGGCGUGCCUAAUACAUGCAAGUAGAACGCUGAAGGAGGAGCUUGCUUCUCUGGAUGAGUUGCGAACGGGUGAGUAACGCGUAGGUAACCUGCCUGGUAGCGGGGGAUAACUAUUGGAAACGAUAGCUAAUACCGCAUAAGAGUAGAUGUUGCAUGACAUUUGCUUAAAAGGUGCAAUUGCAUCACUACCAGAUGGACCUGCGUUGUAUUAGCUAGUUGGUGGGGUAACGGCUCACCAAGGCGACGAUACAUAGCCGACCUGAGAGGGGGAUCGGCCAAACUGGGACUGAGACACGGCCCAGACUCCUGCGGGAGGGAGCAGUAGGGAAUCUUCGGCAAUGGACGGAAGUCUGAACGAGGAACGCCGCGGGAGGGAAGAAGGUUUUCGGAUCGUAAAGCUCUGUUGUAAGAGAAGAACGAGUGUGAGAGUGGAAAGUUCACACUGUGACGGUAUCUGACCAGAAAGGGACGGCUAACUACGUG
rnacentral:rRNA from 1 species